ACGUAGGGUGCGAGCGUUAAUCGGAAUUACUGGGCGUAAAGCGUGCGCAGGCGGUUCGCCAAGUCAGGUGUGAAAUCCCCGGGCUUAACCUGGGAAUUGCGCUUGAAACUAGCGGGCUUGAGUUUGGCAGAGGAGACUGGAAUUCCUGGUGUAGCAGUGAAAUGCGUAGAUAUCAGGAGGAAUACCGAUGGCGAAGGCAGGUCUCUGGGCUAUAACUGACGCUCAUGCACGAAAGCGUGGGGAGCAAACAGGA
rnacentral:rRNA from 1 species